GACGUAUGCUUAAGAUUAAAAAAUAUAAUGGUUUUUUAAAGUUUGCGAAAAUUAAUAAAUGCGCUGCUCGUUAAAAAACUGUGAAACGAUAAAAAAUAGUCAACUGAAUUUGUUAACGACUAGUUAUUCCAUACAGGAUUCAUUUUUUUUCACAUUAAAUAAAUACAAAAUUUGGAUUUAUAAAAAUUGUUUAUUUUAAAUUUACUUAUUUUAAUUUAUAACUAUAUUAGAGGAUUUUUAUUUUACACAAUACAAGUAACGCUAAAUAAACCAGUCUUUAUUUUUUCAUGAAAUCUGCCCGCUGAUGUCCUGUGCUUGGUGAAUCACUAACGGUCACAUCUUCUUCGUCAACUUCCAGGCUGUUCAAUCUAAAAGAAAAUAAUAAUUUUUUAAAUACCAGUAUUUAAAUAAUAAUCAAAACAUAUCCUAAGUUACUUACUCAUCCUGUUCCAAGCUAUGUAACAUUUGAAAUCCUGCAUCCAAACUGGGAGGAAAACCCAUCUCUGGAUCAAGUAGCUGUAGUGUUGGCACUUCUCUAUAUACAUUUCCAAAUUCUUCAAGUCCAUCGAAUUGUAGAUUACUCGUGGCUUCAUCCAAUUCCAUUCUGUGAAAAUACACGAGUUGUAGAAAUUACGACAUGAGGAGAGCAUAAUGUAUGUACUUAAAAAUAUCUUACUUUGCAUUGCAAAUGUUUAACUCAAGUUGUCGCUGCUGUUCAACUUUGUUUUCCACUUUUCUCUUCACAUUUUUUUCAUGCCUGAGAAUAUACUCUUCGUAGUAAUUAUGUAAACCUAUGAUUCCUCCUACAUUAGCCUCAACAAGAACUUUUUCCAUUGCGUCCUAUGAAAAAAAUAAUUUUUACAGAUAUAUAUAAUACAUAAAUAUCAAACUUUAGUGAUAUAUUGCAACUCACUGGAAAACCAUAAUUCCUUUCUUCUGAUGCUACCUUUAAUAAAAGUCCUAUCCUUUUCAAAAAAUGAUCAGCAGCAUCCGUAAGAGUAGCAAUAGCAUAAUCAGAUGCUUCAUCAAAUCCAAUAUGAGCUAAUAAAACUGUAACUGCAUGUUUUAAUAAUCCUUGUGCAGUUGAAGGUUUUAAAUGAGUAAUGUUCACGUGAUUUUUAAAUCUCUUUUUGUUUUGUUUAGUGGGUAUCGUAAAAUUAUAUGAAUCUUUGGGAAUUUCAUCUUGAGAUUCAUCUUCAAUCACAGUUACAUUUCUUAAUAUGUUUCCCUCCUCCUGUAAAAUAAUUUAAUUUAUUAAUUUUUGUGUAACUAUUUGAAUAAAAUGAAUAAAUAAAAUAAGGUAUAGUUACCAUUGAUCUCAGUUGCUGUCGUAAAUUUACAGUAUUUAAUACGUGAGGAUUUCCUAAAGGCAUUCUGCAAAAUAAAAUGACAUUAGAUACGUUUUUUUUUGUAUUGAAACGCUUUUAUAAAUUAAAAUCAAAUCAUUAAAUAUUUACUGAAUAUAUUCAGGUUGUCUGUGCAUUUGGUAAUCACAAUCAGAAUUGUUUGCUUCAUCCAUGACUUGCCUCCAAACAUUUUCAAUAAUAUCUGGAGUAAUGAUUUCUUGUUUGUGAGUUUCUCUAACUGGAAGCUCACCCCAUAACCCACCAGUGGUUGGAGUUUUGCUUGAUUUCAUGGUAACUCUCUUGUUUAAAACGCGAUUUUGACAGAAUUUUUCCGAAAAUGCUUUAGAAAAAUGCACCGAUAUUUUUGAACUCACAUGUUUAGAAGUUUAUUAAAUAUUUAUAUUAAUAAAUGUAUUAAUUAAACUAAAUUCUUUUCUGUAUACUUAAAACAUAAGUAUAAAAAUAUUAGCAAAAAAUAAUAGAAAAUUUGUGUGUAAUUAUAAAGACGGCUUCUCUUCACGCUAUUGUUUGUACACAAACAUCAGAAUUUUAAGGUUAUGUUCUCUGAUGCAACGCGUGCAGUGCAGACUUCUGCUCUACCUGCUGAUGCGCGGGCUGCCAUUCUGCCAAUGCUGCCAUUGCUAUAUACCUGCACCAUGUAUAUCUAUAAGAUAUACAUAAGUAUAUAUAUGAUUGUUGGAAAUUGGAAUGCGUCCGCACAACUCACAAGCGAAGUCAAAACAAGUGAUGACAGUUAUACUUAUCGCCAACACGAAGGGUCUGAGGAAACUUGAUUUUCGCAAAAUGAUCGAUAAUUAACGCAACUAUGACAUUUUUUGUCAUCGGAUUUCAAUUUUAUAUAUUUGAAAACUACAUUUUCACUCUUAUAUGAAGAAGCAUUUGAUAGAGCCAAAUUUUCCAAGGUAGAAAAAAAAAUUAAAGAUGGAAAGUGUGGCAGCAUCAAUUUUACAACGAGCUGUUGAAAAGGACAAAAAGGAACAGUACACGAUGGCCUUAGCAUUGUAUCAAGAAGGUUUAAAAGUUCUUGUUGAUUCUAUAAAAGAGAUGAACGACCCUGUGCGGAAAAAACAUUUUCAGACAAGAGCCGCACAGUACAUGGAUAGAGCUGAAAAAAUAAAGAGUCUCAUAGAAGAAAAAAAAACAUCAGGAAAAUACAGAGAGCACUUAAAAAUUGAGGCUGGCUCUGUAGGAUAUGGUUAUGAUUCAGUCUUUGGUCGCUUCUUGGAUGGCUCCGUUACACAGAUUCAUAUCGAGGAGCCCUAUAUUAGGGCUUUCCACCAGUUUCAAAAUUUUCUGAGGUUUUGUGAACUAGUUGUACAAAAAUGUCAAUCGCUAUCUAAAAUAUUUCUUCUGACCACACCGGAUCCAAGUGAUAAAGCUGCCCAAGUGUCAAGGUUUGGAGAACUAAAAAAGAGCUUAGCUUCUCGACUGGUAACUUUGGAUGUCAAAUUCUCAGAUACACUGCACGACAGACAAAUUGUGCUUAGCAAUGGAUGGGUGAUAAAAAUUGGACGUGGACUUGACUAUUUCAAACCACCUGAAGGAAAGCUGCUUUUGGGUUAUUUUGAUCUUGAGCUAAGACCCUGCUUGGAAACAAUUGUGGAUAUCUUUCACAAGAGUCAACUUCAAGAAAACAUCAAAUAAGACUUAUCAACUUCUGAAUAUUUUGGUAUAACUUAAGAAAAUAUUGUUUUAAAUAUACCCAAGUCUAUUACAUUAACAGUGAUUAAUACUCUCGAUUUUUUAAAAUGAAAAAUCAUUACUUAAUGUUUUCUAACAAUUUUUAAGUCCAUUUUUUGAGAGAUUAAAAAUUUACUUUGAUCAUGCAAUUGUGAUUAAGACAAAUAUUUUAUAUGAUACAUAAUUUUUUAAAUAACCAGCAAUGAAGUAUUAUAACUGAGUGAAAGUUUACUGAACAUUGUUGAAUAUCUGAAUUUUUAAUUGUACAUACUGUUAAUGCAGAAGCACAGUUGAACUUGAAUGAACUAAGGGACUUGCGGUCCAUAAGGAUAUAUAGGCUAUGAAGGAAUAAAACGAGAGUAUUUAUUAUAGUCAAAAUCGAAUUUAUUUCAUAUAUAUUAAUUAUCUCGUAAUUUUUACAGUAUGGUAUAAAAAAAUAUUCUACUCUAGACUAGACAGAAUCUUUAAAACUUAUAACAAUAAACGGUCGAUAUAUACAUUUUCGUAAAAUUAAUUCAAUUUUACAAUAUCUUCAGUUCACAUCGAAGAUUCUUCAAACACUCGAUCAGUUGCCGCAUCAUUCGUGCACAUACAUAUACAAAUAUCUCGUCCAAAUGCAUCCACACAAUUUCAUCUAUCCAACAACAACAACAACAGCAACAACACCAACAACAACCGAACGAAACAUAUGGCUAUAUAAUAUUGGCACCAUCAGCGUAUCUUCGGACACAGUCGAGAAUAAUCAUCAACUAUUCUCGCGUGUCAUCGCCGUGAUAUCUCAACGUGGACUGGAGUCCCACAUCCUGGCCAUGUCGAUCUGCUCGGCUGCGAUUUUCCUGGCGACCCUCAGCGAUUUCGAACUGUGGAACUUCUGGUUACUGGCAGCCUCAGCUCGUCGAGCAUCUCCAACGCAAGCCUGCCCACUGCACUCGGAGCUGGGAAGACAGUCCGAGCCACCAACCGCCACGACCUGCUUGGCUAUCUCCGGAUCGACGCAGAGACGAGUGAGGGCUUCCGUAGCUGUGGCUUCCAAACGACGAUAGGACUCGGCCUCGAGACCAGGAGGCUGCAUCCGCAGGAAGCAGACCAAGGCGACAGAGGCUCGGGUCUCGGCGAGAUGUGCUCGAGCUUGAGGAACACGGGCGACCUGGCCGACUAACGAGGCCACCUGCUCCAUCAGCCAGACGUUGCCGCUGCUCGUUUUCUUCACGCACCUGCAAUCGGGAUAAAAAAACGAGCUCUCACCUCAGCAGUCUCUUGAUGGAGUUGCACUUGAUGAUCGGCCCGAUGCAACGCCUCGAGUGGGCCAUGUGGUUUAUCGCCGCAGUGCUCAGCAACAGCGUCUGUUUGCAGCUGGUCCUCUCGGCCAAAUUCGUCAGCGCACUGAUCAGGUCAUGGGCGAAAGGCUCGACGUAGGGCAGCCCGACGUAGUCCAUCCAGGGCGCGGUUAUCUGUACAACCAGAGCGGCAGCCUCGGACUUUUCGCUUUCGGGAGUCGAGUCCGCGGCGAGGAUGUCGCUGAGGAUCUCCGGGCCACCCUCGCGCACGAACUGGUCGACCGCCUCGAUGCAGCAACAGACGCUGGCCAGAGCUCGCAGACUAGCCGAGCGUAAUUCCGAGGAGAGCCGACCCGCGGAGACGAGGCUGGUGAGCAGAGCUCGGAUUCCGGAGCAGCGGGCUACGCUGGCACCGGCUCGAGGACCAGCCAGACCGAGAGCGGUGAGGGCUGCCAGGGCACCGCGAGCUGCACUGCCGGCCUCGCUGGGCGCUUCCUCCAGAGCCAGGACAACUUUCUGUGGACGAGAGUGAAAGGCUAAUCUACGGAUCUCGGAUCUCCCUACCUCGCAGCCGGCGAGCCGCACAUCUCGAUGUGGAUAACAGUGACGUUCUCCUGAUCCACGCUGGUGUCACUUUCCGGAACGGCGUCGAGGCGAUCGCGCUCGUCCGUCCUUGGGCACGUCGGCGAAGCUGGAGCCACUAAAACCGGCGAAACUCUCCUCGGACUCGGCAGCACGGCAGGAGCUGGAAAAGCAAAGUUCCCGGCGUCCUGCGUCUCCAUCUGAUUCCAGAACACUUUGCUUUGGAAGCGCUUGAAGUUACUCAUCUUCGCAGCACUGUUUCUCGCUGUUCGUUCGUUAAUUUCGUUAAAAAAUUGUGUAUCGAUAAUUUGACGUCGCCUACUAUAGAAACUGUAUCGUUCACACCGAAAAUUCGACGCUCAGCAUCGCGUGCGCUCCGCUAGGGUUACUGUACGUGUGCGCAUACGACAGAUGCCAGCGGCGGAAUGAUUCGAGAGAGCUGUCGCGCGCGCGCGCGCGCUUACGUUGUGCAGUCCAUACGCGCCGUACUCCCCCACCGGCCGGCUGUUGGUCGCGUGGCUGGGAUGCGUCGUUGUUGGGCCCCUUCGAAAGGCCUUCUGGCACGUCGGCGGCCCCCCCUCGUCUAUAAUGCGGCCAGGUAUAUAAUUUUCCGGACGCUUCUUCCUUGCCGGACGAGCUUGCGGACUUUACUGCCUGCCUGCGCGUCUAUGGCUCUAUGCGUAUAACGAACCUCGAUGGGCUGAUUUUAUUGCACCUAUUUCGGAGCCUUCGCUUUUCCGCGCGGUAAACGCUGUGCUGUGCGUUCGGCCGAGCCGUGGUGAUUAGCCUGUUCCUGGGGGGGGGGACGGUGAAAUCCUUGAGUUGUGUACGAAUAUUCCAAAGCUUGAGGUACUUUCUGCGUGGUAGUCUACGCGAUGGACAUCGGUCGGCGAUGUUUAAUAUAGACAGCUAUGCCAAUAUUUUCGCGCGCUCUUUCGCUCGAGACGUCGGGCCAGUGACUGACUGACUGACUCCCCCUGUGGGUACCUACCCAUAUAGCGGCGUACCUCGAUGUACAUAUGAAAGAAGGAGAGAAUCGGGUUCUUCCGACUUCCUAACGUCGACUCCGCCCAUCUGCGGCGCGACUCCUGCAUCCGUACGGCUAUACGUCUCUCUCUCUCUCUCUCUCUCUCUCUCUCUCUCCCUUGUGUACGUGAUCCCCUUUAAACGCUGCGUGCAUACAUUUGCUGCGACUGACUGUGCGUGAUGUGACUCUUUUUUCUAAACUCCAUUAGACGCUUGCUUAUCGAUGGCCGAGAUAUACUCGCUCGCGUAUAUUGAGAUGUUAAUGCAAUCACGAUGGAUGGAAAUUCGGAAAAGCGCCCGUUACAGACACACACAUCGCGUCACGGUGUAUAUAGUGUAAACUGACUCAUCCCGCCAGGAAAACAAGGCAGUUCCGCAAGAAAAAAAAAAAUAAAUAAAAAAAGAAAUCAUCCCAAACAAUUUUAUCGCGAACCGCGCAGGCACCGGUAACUCAAUAUCGACACGGAGAGCGCAGCCGUCCGUAGCACUAUCACCGCGUUUAUAUUUACAGACAGAUAAAAAAAAAAAAAAAAAAAAACCGCGCACACAAUAAUAUAACGCCGGACUGCAUUAACUCUCCACGCGGUUGUUUUAAAGCACCCGCAUUUCUCGUCGAACGAAAAAAUCGCGCCAACGCCGGCUGUGUGUAUCGAAAGCAUUGCAGUUCCUAUACCCAUACACGCACAAAGGAGAUUUUCAACAAUAGACGCAUGGAGUUCAGUUUUGUCGGUUAUAAGCGCGCGCUCGCGCCGGCUUUUUCUAUAGGCUAUAUAUAGAGGUGCGCAACCCCCGUCGCAGGGGAUGACGCGCGAAGAAGAGCCUCAGGGGGGGAGAGAGAGAGAGAGAGAGAGAGAGAGCGGCGUAACGACUUUUGAUGAUGCGUGCAUGCGUACGCGCUUGGACCUUUAAAAAUGUUUAUUCGGCGCGAGUUUUCGAGAAAGAAAGCCGAUAUCGCUGUGCGCGUCGCCUUAUGCAUAUACUGAAAAUUUUCUCUUUUACAUUUUCAGAGAAUAACCGAACAGGCCUCCCGUCGUACGAGAAGCUUCCAACGACACUAUAACUUCGCGAUCAUCCAAAAAAUCGGAUCAAGUGUGAAGCAAUUUUGGCGCGUUUCGCAAGCAUCGAAAAAUCGGCCGAUUACACGCACCGUCGUGUGUACAGAACAGCUGUGUUCUCCCCUACUGCAACGGGGGUCAAAUAAGAAGAAGACGAUCAAGCCCAACAAGACCCGCGUGUGUGUAGAGGCGCGUAAAAACGCCGACGCCGGUAGCACGCGCCACUCGAGGCAUCUGCCGCGUUGUACGCUUCGAUGAUUUCCAGAACACGCGCGCGCCGGCCUCUGUCUCCCCCGCACGCGUGUACAAUUCGUGAAUAAGUGUGUGGGGGGUGGGGGGAGGGGUCGAGAUCUCUAUCUCGCGGGGCUGUUCCUUUUCUUUUUCAUUGGGAUACUCGAGAAGAGAGAGAGAGAGGUCGUAAGUGCGAGGGGGAUAAAAAUGUGUUUCGAGUGUCGCGGGAAGCGAGUGUUUGUUUCUAUUCGGCACUUUGCGGCUGCUCGCGACAGAUAGAGAGCUUGAUGGGAAAGACAAUUUUUGAAGUGUGGCGCGAGAACGUUUUCUUUUUUUUUUUUUUUUUUUUCUAUAAUUAUAUGAAAUACCAUCUCAGUUCGUCAACGAAAACUGCGCGCGAUGCCCAUCGACGCAUUAAUCUCACCUAUAUGUACUACGUUAACAUUACUCGAAUCCCGAUAAGAAUCCUCAUCGCGCGAGUCACUCGUUCUCUGUAUACCGCUUCGAAAUACCGAUUCCUCGAGCCCAUUCAUCGGCGAUAAUCUCUCUCCGUCGUCGAUAUCGCAAUGAAUUCCUUAUACGAUACUGUUAAAGGUACGCAGCAUAAGUACGUAUAGAAAAGUAGAAAACUAUUUUCACUUCUCGUCGCUCGCAUUCUCGAGCGAUGAGAGAGCAGCGGUGCAUGUGUGCAUAUAAACGGCCUGGUCCACGCGAAAAUUCUGUGGGAGUAGAUUUGUAAUGUACGAGGCCCGUGUAAAAUGCGACUCGCUUCAGGGAGUGUUGGCCGAUUGCGUGGCGCGCCAGAGAGAGAGAGAGAGAGAGAGAGAAAGAAACCAGGUGAAAUUUUAGGAUGAAUCAGUGCAGGAACGGUAAAAGCCGAGCGUGUGUUCCGGGGCCUGCAGCGAAAUGCGCGCGCGCGCGCGCGCGGAUAGCUUUGUCACGCGCGCUGCUUAUCGGUUGAUUCAUCGGUGUAAUUAUAGCACGCUUGUGUGUAGCCCUUUUUUGUUUUUGUGAUUUUUGUAUUUUUUCUAUUGCGAAUGCUCCGUGGCCAUGACGAUUUUUUCCGGGGGAUGUGCGUUGUUUCGUGCGCGAUCGGAAAGUGGAAAUGGCGUAUUAUAACGAUAUUUUCUUAUCGUAUGCGCGAUUGUUCCGACUCUCGGUCUUUUUUGUGAAUGGAGCGGUUUUUGACAAAACGGAAAAUCGCGCUAUUCUAGGAUUGUGAACUUCUUGUUUGCUAAAAGGCUGCCUUAAAAUAACAGCAGCCGUCGAAAAUUAUCUCCUCGCGGUAACUCGACGCUCCGCAGCUUCCGAAAUCAGCCAUCAACGUUGAUAAAAUCGCCUACAUUGUAUAGGUACACCCAAAUAUCGAGAACUGGCGCGAAGAGACCACGUUAUACUUGUAUGCCUGCACGCCUAGUUAUGGCGCACCCCUAUUGUCGCCUCUUUCUCUCGCUCUCUCUCUCUCUCUCUCUCUCUCUCUCUCUCUCUCUCUCUCUCUCUCUCUGUAUACAGAAAUGGGGGACAGCUGCGAGGAACCGUUACGCCGAGCUGCUGCUGCACUCGUGUGUGUACCUAUAUGCGUACCGCGAAGUCGUCGAGUCGCUCGGCGGAAUAUUGAUUGCGCUUCGAGGAUUGCCAGAGGUGUAUGUAUGUAGGUAUAUAUAUGCACACGCGAGGAGCUAUACAUUGUUCUGUGCGGGGAUUUUGCUAGUUAGGAAGUGCGUCCGCGAGACGCUUUGUGCAAGCUGCUGCUUGUCUUGGGAGAAAGGAGGCUUUGUCUUUUGUUUCUUUCUUCGAUGAAGCUGGUUUUUAGAGAAAGAGGAUGCGCGCGUCGUUUGGGAUCGAUAAUUGGCCUUUUGAAAAUCUGGUUUUUAAGGAUGUCUCUGCGUUUAAAUAUUUUAGUACAAUUAGUUUGUUCAAACUUCUAGUCGACGAUGUAUGAAAAAAAUUAAUUUAUAAUCUUUACAAUUUAUCCAUAUAAUUAUACGCUGUAAUGACUUGUCUCGAGAAAAUCUAACAAUAAACCUAUUCCCGAAAAA